rnacentral:rRNA from 1 species
CAGCCGCCGCGGUAAAACGGAGGGGGCUAGCGUUGUUCGGAAUUACUGGGCGUAAAGCGCACGUAGGCGGACUGGAAAGUCAGAGGUGAAAUCCCAAGGCUCAACCUUGGAACUGCCUUUGAAACUAUCAGUCUGGAGUUCGAGAGAGGUGAGUGGAAUUCCGAGUGUAGAGGUGAAAUUCGUAGAUAUUCGGAGGAACACCAGUGGCGAAGGCGGCUCACUGGCUCGAUACUGACGCUGAGGUGCGAAAGCGUGGGGAGCAAACAGGAUUAGAUACCCCCGUAGUCCCUGUCUCUUAUAC